rnacentral:tRNA from 1 species
ACUUAAUUAGUUUAAUAUAAAACGUUAAAUUGUGGAUUUAGAGAUAUACAAUUAUAUUAAGUC